UAAAUUUGUGAUGAAUUGGCAACACAAAGAAUUUUGAGCUUGGAAUAUUCCUUGCUGUCCCUAACUCUGAUGAUAAAGUUGCCUUCUAACUCCUGAUACAGAUAUCAGUGGCUGUGGUCAACUUCUAUGGCUCUGCUACAUGUCUUCUCAUUCCAGAUUCCAGCCUCAAAAAGUGUGCCUUAUUUGGGACAUCCAAAAAAGAAGAACUCUUGAUGCCUCCUAAAGUUUCUAAAUGUCCAGAAGUGUUCCUCAGAAAGAAUGUGCAUAGGUAGCGAGUUUCUCAAUAAAAAGCUUCUUCAUAAAAACUACAUAGAGGACUUAUGCUUCCAGAUGGAUUGCACCGUGGGAAGAUUCAGAGCUCCCUUCUUCUGUAGACACUCAGCUGAAUGAGAAAACACAAACAUCAAAAACAGCUUUCUGCAAUGUUCCCCAUUAGCCAAAACCACUCAGAAACAGGUGGCACCAGAGCCUGGGAAACAGCCUGAAGGGAUCUGCACCCCUGAAAAACAGAAUGGAGGGUGAGGAAGAAGAAAGAUCUGUGGGAUAACAACUUGAAGCUCAGCUGGAAUAUCUCAGUCAUUUCCUGCCAGGUUCUGAAAUGAAAAUUUUGGAGUUAAGGGGGCAUGGUGGAGGCAGGGAAGAACACAACAAACAAACUGAAAUAAUAAAUGGAGAUAUCAAAAAUAUAUUUAGGUUUUAGAAAAAUUCAUAUUUAAACUCUCAAAGUUUAACAAAUAGUUUUCAAUGAGAUGUUUAAUAGCAUUUUCAUUAUCUGACUCUUCAAAACACUUGGCAACAUCAAAAACAUAUUUUCAAAAAUACAUUUUAUUUUUGUUUGUAUUCAGGGGACUCUGAAAAGAACGAAUUAGUAAUAUUUUAUUUCCUUUAACUCAAAUAUUUUAUUCAAUA